rnacentral:rRNA from 1 species
GACGAACGCUGGCGGCGUGCCUAAUACAUGCAAGUAGAACGCACAGUUUAUACCGUAGCUUGCUACACCAUAGACUGUGAGUUGCGAACGGGUGAGUAACGCGUAGGUAACCUGCCUGGUAGCGGGGGAUAACUAUUGGAAACGAUAGCUAAUACCGCAUAAUAUUAAUUAUUGCAUGAUAAUUAAUUGAAAGGUGCAAUUGCACCACUACCAGAUGGACCUGCGUUGUAUUAGCUAGUAGGUGAGGUAACGGCUCACCUAGGCGACGAUACAUAGCCGACCUGAGAGGGCGAUCGGCCACACUGGGAUUGAGACACGGCCCAGACUCCUACGGGAGGAAGCAGUAGGGAAUCUUCGGCAAUGGACGAAAGUCUGACCGAGCAACGCCGCGUGAGUGAAGAAGGUUUUCGGAUCGUAAAGCUCUGUUGUAAGAGAAGAACGGGUGUGAGAGUGGAAAGUUCACACUGUGACGGUAUCUUACCAGAAAGGGACGGCUAACUACGUG